UGUAGGCUCAGUCUCAUCCAGACCGGGUGACAAAUGGAAAAGUAAACAGAGAGUUUCAGGAGAGGAGGGGAAAGGCUGUUACAUCACGGCAUUGUGGGAAAAGGAAACACCCAGCUGACCCUACCCCCGGUUACACGCAAUUCCAAUCAGGAUCACUAAGGUUUUUUGUCCAACCAUCUAUCUACUGGAUGCUGCAAAAGAGAUGAAGGCCUUAGUGAAGCACAGGAUGGGUAGUGAGGCUGACCACAGGCAGCAGUGUGUGUCAGCAUUUCACUGGAUCAGCAGAACACCACAAGGAAUGCCAUGAGGAAUGGGGUGAGGAUGAGGAGGAGAGAGAGAAUGGCUCAUUUCCUGGAUUCAUUUAACAAUUAAUUGGAAAACAGAUCGGAGGAGUGUGCAUCUCGGGGGAGAUGAACCAGCCCAGCCUAGAAGUUGUUGAUGAUGCACUUUCGUACAAAAAUGCUCAGCUGGGUGUAAUGUUUAUUCAAGAUGACUUAAGUUUUUCUCUCUUUUGACUAACAAAGUGAAUUAAAAAACGCCUUUACAUCAAA